CCUACGGGAGGCAGCAGUGGGGGAUAUUGCACAAUGGGGGAAACCCUGAUGCAGCGACGCCGCGUGAGUGAAGAAGGAUUUCGGUAUGUAAAGCUCUAUCAGCAGGGAAGAAAAUGACAGUACCUGACCAAGAAGCCACGGCUAACUACGGGCCAGCAGCCGCGGUAAGACGGAGGGGGCAAGCGUUAUCCGGAUUUACUGGGUGGAAAGGGAGCGUAGACGGGUAUGUAAGUCUGGAGGGAAAGCCCGGGGCCCAACCCCGGGACUGCUUUGGAAACUGUGUAACUGGAGUACAGGAGGGGCAGGCGGAAUUCCUGGUGUAGCGGUGAACUGCGUAGAUAUCAGGCGGAACACCGGCGGCGAAGGCGGCCUGCUGGACUGCAACUGACGUUGAGGCUCGACAGCGUGGGGAGCAAACAGGAUUAGAUACCCUUGUAGUC
rnacentral:rRNA from 1 species